AUUGGGACCAGUCGUGUGGGCAAAUGAGGUGCGUUUUGUCCACUGUUGCAGUCUUCCUAGAGUAAAGUGGAGGUCUCUGUCUGCUUUAGGAGAGCCAGCUAAAGUAGAUCGUUCCCCUCCAUACACG
ensembl:scaRNA